rnacentral:misc_RNA from 1 species
AUAUCCUGAUUAAGCACUUCGAUAAGCGUGUAAUGGGCUGAUCUUAUUUUCAUCUUCGUCAACUUACUGAAUAAGGAUAACAUACGCUUAUCGAAGUGCUUAAUCAGGAUAUCAACUGAUGUCAAAGUUUUGGCAGGCAAAAUGGUUUUCGUAGGGCAAUCCUAAAUUAAAGUCACGAGUUCUGCCCACAAACAGAAAACCAAUUUUCUCGCUUUAUAUUUUGACAUAGGCCAAACAAUAUUAUUAUCUUGAUGCAUCCCUGCUAAUACUAUGAAUUGCAUUAGUUUACACAUUCGUCCGACUCCCCAAGAGAGGGGUACUCUGCUGUUCACUAAUUUCUUUCGCUUCAAUUUGUUCUUCUUCCUUGGAUUGUGCCCACAUUACUCCAUAGAAACCCGCAACGAUUAUGAUCGCCCCUAUAAUGCUUCCAACAUGAAGUGUAUCGCCCAGAAAGAUGACACUCAAAAAGGCAGCAAUGGCUAUCCCUAAGGGUUUGAACAUGGCCACAAAAACAGGCCCUUUCUUAUGUAUGCACCAUGUUGCUACACUGUAUGUCACCACAUUUCCAAACACAGCUGAGUAGAUGACAGAUACGAGCUCAAUAUCAGGCUUCAGUUUCCAAGCAUUUGGGUUCUUCUCUGCAAUCAAGGCAACUAUUGCACAUUGUAUAGUUCCAAAUAGGCAAUAGAAGGAGACUAUGGUCAUCUCUGAAGGGUACCCUCUCAGAAUUGCUGCCUGAAAAAUAGUAAAUACUGACAGAGAUAAACUAGCAGUUGCAAAGAAUAAUCCACCUAUGACCCAGGAAUUUUUUGCUGUCAAUACAGGUUCCGGAUGUGAUGGCAAGGUUGUGACACCUAUUGGAGGACCUUCGUAAAAGAUUAUAAUCAUUGCUCCUGAAAUUGAUACUAGUGUGCCCAAAAUUUUGAUCUGGCUUCUUGAGCUUCUCAAAUCUAACUUCUCCAUCCUGAACAUAACUGCAAGCAAGAAGGUAAAGGCAGGGAAUAAUUGGCCUAUAGCAGAAGCAAGGGUAGGAGAACUGUAGUUUACACCAGUGAACACACAAUUCUGCAUCAUGGUAAUUCCAACAAGGCUGAGGAGGAAGAAUUUGCAGAGGAGGGAGUAGGUAAGUGGUGGUCUCUUUGUCCUGUUGAAGAAGAAAGAAAAA